rnacentral:tRNA from 1 species
GGUGGGUUGGCUCAGUGGCUAUAGCUUAGAUCUCGUAAACGAAAGGUCGCGGGAUCGAAUCCCGCUAGAGGCUG